UGUUAUGCCUCUUUUAAUCUAAAUCAGCCUCUGCUUACUAUUUUUAAUUCCCAUUUCAUGAGUUCUUUGUGGAAAGUUAAUUCUCAUUAAAUAGCAUGCUCACGAUAUUGAAGGGUUAAAGAACACUGAUCUCAUGGCUGCAGCGCAGAUGAAAGCGUAGCCUGAAAUGCACUACUGUAAGGCAGUCAAUGGAGGACGGUUAUUACAGUCACGGGCAGAUAGUAGCAUAAAGCUGCUUCCAAAUAGUGUUUAUGACUGGGCACAUUGGCUUCUGCCUGUAAUCUUAGCACUUUCGGAGGCCAAGGUGGAUGGAUCAGCUGAGGUCAGGAGUUGGAGACCAGCCUGGCCAACAUAGUUAAGCCCUGUCUCUACUAAAAAUAUACAAAAAUUAGACAGGCAUGCUGGCCGGCACCUGUAAUCUCAGCUACUUGUGAGACUGAGGCAGGAGAAUUGCUUGAACCCGAGAGUCAGAGAUUGCAAGGAAUCGAGAUCAUGCCACUGCACACCAGCUUAGGUUAUGUUCUUUAUUGUCUAUAAUGAUUUUCUUUAUUUCUCCUCUGUUUAAGGAUAUUGAAAAACAAAGUUUAAUCUUUGAAGAUCUUUGAGGAUGGUUUUUAAGACCAAAAAUUUGAAGGACAUGCGAAUGAUGUGUGUGUGGAAGAACUACUGGAAGACAUUCCUUUCAGAAGUCCCUCAUGAUAGGGAAUCCCAAGGCUGGAAACCAUCAUUCAAGUGGGCAAUCAAAUUACAUUUGUUAUUAAAAGCCACCCUGAGUGAAUCCCAGCAUUGCCCUACAUAAAAUAUAUCCUUAAUGGUAUUUCCUAUUUGAUGUCUGACUCCCCCUCCUCCUUCACUAAAAGUGGAGACAAGGUUUCUCUAUGUCACCCAGGCUGGUUUCAAACUCCUGGACCUAAGUGAUUCACCUGCCUUGGCCUUUAAAACUGCUGCAAUUACAGGUGUGAACCACCAUGCCUGUUUUUCUUCUCAUUUUUCUCUCUUCCCUUCCUUCUUUGGUAGAGGGAAAUGUGUCAUGUACCAGCUAUUCAUCCAAUGACUGCUCCUCAGUUCCAAAUUCACUGUUCACUGCCUCCUUUGCAAAUGUAGAGGUGGGUUCCUUAAAUGCUUCCUCUGUGAACUGUUGCAUUAUUAAAUGUUGUCAGUACAUGGUGCUAGAGGGGCGUUCUAAGAGGCUUUUCUUUCUAGUUGUGUGCAAAUCUUCACAGGCACUGAGCUUUUCCAGCACCAGGCCUUGCCCUGCAUGGUGCUUAGCAGCACACAGUGACCAGCAGUUUCUCUGCAUUUGCCUGGGUGGUUUUCUAGUGAGACAACUGUUUACUAAUAGGUUAAGCUAUCACCCUAGAUGGUGGAUUUUCAGCAAACUCCAGAGGGCAUAUUGCUAGCAUGUUCCACCAUGUGGUAAUGCAGCAAUUCUGCCAUUGAAUUUCCCAUGACUGUGCCCUUUUCAAGGGGGCUUGGAUCUCAGCCUUAGUGGGCAAUCCCUUCCUUGGUCACUCUGUCUCAGUGUAGGGACAGUAGGAAGUUACUGCUCCUUGUAACAACUGGUCCUAUACUUUGUUUUUUUUUAGGCAGGGUCUCUCUCUUUUGCCCAGUCUAAAGUGCAGUGGUGAAAUCAUGGCUCACCGCAGCCUUAACCUUCUGGGCUGAAGCAAUUUUUUCACCUCAGCCUCCCAAGUGACUAGGACUACAAGUGUGUGCCACCACACCUGGCUUUUUUUUUUUUUUUUUUUUGGAGAGCCAGGGUCUCACUGUGUUUCCGAGGCUGGUCUCAAACUGCUGGCCUCAAGCAGUCCUCCUGCCUUGGCUUCCCAAAUUGCUGGAAUUGUAAGCAUGAGCCACCAUGUCUGGCCUCUGCUAGCCCUAUGUUCUCUAGAGUUCUUUUUCCUUUUGUAGCCAAUCUCUCAUAUGGUGUUCCCUUGUUAUAUAAUUAAUUUAUUUUACUUUAAAUUUUACCAGUUUAAACUUUGGGUGAUUUUUGUUUUUUGAUUGGAUUCUGACAAAUACAGAACUGAUGCUAGGAAGGGUUCUGGGAGAAAGACCCACACAAAUGGGAUCUGGGCAUAGGUUUGGUUAUCCAAGGGGUAGCAUUGAGCUCCUUGUCAAUGGGAAAUGGGAUGCUGGUGAUUUUUAGGAAGUGACCUCAUAAUGUUUCAAGCUACCACUUCCUGUUGAUUGUGAUGAAAUGCCAGCUGAGACACAUGCCAUAGGAGCUAAGUGGCUUCUGUACUUGACCACUAUGAAGACUGCUGUGGAGAGGGUCCUUUUGGAUGCAGUGGAGCAGGGGCACCUAAUCCCUGAAUCACAGGCCUGUACUUGGCCACACAGCAGGAGGUGAGCAGCAGGUGGGCGAGCAAAGCUUCAUCUGUAUCUAUGGCCACUCCCCUCUUUGCCACCUGAUCUCCACCUCAUGUCAGGUCAGUGGCAGCAUUAGAUUCUCAUAGGAGCAGGAACCCUAUUGUGUAACUGUGCAUGCAAGGGUUCUACCUUGCUGUGUCUUUAUGAGAAUCUGAUGCCUGAUAAUCUGUCACUAUCUUUCAUCACCCCCAGAUGGGACCAUCUAGUUGCAGGAAAACAAACAAGCCCAGGAUUCCCACUGAUUGUACAUUAUGGGUUGAUAUUAUUGAAAAUCAAACUCAAACUUAAAUGUGUGAAUUGCUGAAUUACAAUGACAGUUGAAUUCACUGCAUCACCAAGUUUCUCAUGAGAACCUGGGGGCACUAAUAGGUGAAGAAUGGGAUUCUUUUUCAUUUUGAGACCGUCUCCCUCUGUUGCCCAGGCUGGAGCACAGCGAUGUGAUCUUGGCUCACUGCAGUCUCAACCUCCCGGGCUUAAGCUAUCCUCCUGCCUCAGCCUCUGGGGUAGCUGAGGUAUGACCACAGCCUCAGCCGAGGUGUCUCACCCCAUUCUCUAUGAUGCUACAAGAAGCCCCUUGGGAGCAUUUCAGUCCCACUCUGUACUUCUGUCAUUGUGCUCCUCACAGUCUGAAAACCAUUUCUUCAACAAGGAGAAAUAAAUGUCAUCCAAAGAGCCCUAGGAGCAAGGGCAGACUCAGAAAGUCAGAAGCACUGUAGUCAUUUUGAGCAGCUUCUACGUCUGCUAAGCUGGCAGUGCCAGAAGCACCUAAGCUGAACAGUCCCUUGAGAAGAAGUACUAUCCUGUGGUUUCAUAACCUUUCUUCCAUUUGUGGUUCUUCCCGAGUUAAAUUUAAAGUGCAUCUUACCAAGAUGGAUAAACCCAAGUUUUCCAGAGCUGGAAUAUAGAAAAUGGAUGGACAUAUAAGUCCCACUCACCCAUAGCCAAGGCAUGGAGACCUGAACACACCUGGGCCCUAGACAUCACCUUUCAUUCUGGAUCUACCAUGAAAGACAUCAGAGUUCAGGAGGAGACUGGGCAUCAUGUUAUUCAGUAGAGACGGGGUUUCACCAUGUUGACCAGGAUGGUCUCGAUCUCCUGACCUCGUGAUCCAACUGCCUCAAGUCAAGCUCUUCAGGCCCACCUUGAGCCUUCCGAUGACCUGGACAGGCCCAGCUCUUUCCUCCCAGUGGCCUCUGCAGGCCUAGCUUUUGCCUCACAGUGUCUCCAGGCCCAGAACUUCCUUAUAAUGUCCAGCUCUUCCUCCCAGUUGCAUCUCCAGGACCAACUCCUGCCUGACACCCUCCUUUGGAUCAGCUACACAGCUCUUGGUGGCCUUUGUAGGCCAAAAACUUUCUCAACUCAAGUUACCCAGCAGAAACUUCUGAGGAACAAUGGCUUAAACAGGCAUAGCUACUGGAUGACAAUAGACUCUCCAGGACCAACUCUUACCUCAUGAAGGUUUCCCUGGCAAAGCUCUUGCCGGCCUCCCAGCAGCCUUGAGAGGCCCAGCUGCUGCCUGACACUGACUUCAUUAGGCCAAGCUCCUACCCACUAGGUGGCCUCUCUAGGCUCAAAACUUCCUCAUAUGGGCCCCUUCUGGGCCAGCUCCUGCCUCCCAAUGGCCCCCUUGGACCCUGUCGGCCUCUCCAGGAGACCCAGCCUCUGAUCACUCCUGGUGGCAUCCUCAGGCUUGGCUCCUACUCCUGGCCAUGUCUACAGGCCCAUGUCCUACCUCCCAACAACCUCUUUUGACUCGGCUCCUGACCAGCUCCCGGUGGCCUGGACAGGCCGAGCUACCACCUGACAAUAUCCUCUCCAGGGCCAGAUCUGGCAUCCCUGCAGCCUCCUUAUGAUGAGCUGCUACCUGCCAAUGGCUUCCCCAGGCCAAGAUCCUGACUGCCUUCCUGCCUGCAUCCUGCCUCCACAGGCCCACUACCUCCCUCACAGUGGCCACUGGGGCCCAGCCCGUGCCUGUGGCAAACCUCUCUGGACCCAGCUCUCACCUCACGCUGGCCUCGGUCUAGGCCCAGGUCCUCCCUCGCAGCGGCCUUCCUCAGCCCAGCUCACCUAUCAUCGUCUCUACUAGGCCAGCUCCUGACUCUUGGUGGCCUGUCCAGGCCCGAAGGUUCCUCUCCGGGCCCAGCCUCUCCAGGCCUGGCUCCUGCCUGCGCUAGGCCCCUCUGGGCCCAGCCUCCACCUAACAGUGGACCCUCCAGACCCAGCUUGUGGCCUCAUCGUGGCCUGCACUCAGCCCAGCUCCUGCCUCUGUGGCAGCCUGUCUCCACAGGCCCAGCUCCUGGCCUCCUGGUGGCCCCCUCGGGCCAAACCGGUGCCCCCAGGCAGCCCUCUGUGCCUAGCGUUGGCCUUCUGGCAUCCUCUCCUUGUCCAGAAUGUCAGCCUCUUUGGUCCCAGCCCCUCCUUCUGGCGGCUUCUUAGGGCCAACCUUUCGUUCUCGCCUCGCAGCAACCUCUGUGGCUCGGUUCCUCCCUAGCUCCUGGAGGCCUUUAUAGGCCCAAAAGCUCAGGCCCUUGACUCAGGCUCUCCAGGACUACCCAGCUCAUGCCUCAUGCUGGCCUCUCCAGGCUCAGGUUCUGCCCACCCAGGGUUCCUAUAGGCCCCAGAUGUCCCAGAGUCGGCUUCUUCAGGCCCGGUUUCGGACUCCUCCUAUUGGCUUCUGCAGGCCCAAACAUUGGGUUCUCAAUUCGGCCUCUCCAGGCCCAGCUCCAGUUCUCCUGGUGUCUCCUCCCCAUGGGUGCAAACGUCAUCAUGUGGGUUCUUCUAGGGCCAGCUCAUGCCUCCCAAAGGCCCCCUGGGCUUAGCUCCUGCCUUCCAUCAGCCUCUCCUGAAGGCCCAGCAUCUGCCUCUGUACUGGCGGCCUCUCAAGGCCUGGAUCCUCCUCCUGGCCACGUCUACGGGCCCAAGUUUUGCCCCCGGCAGCCUCUUUUUUUUUUUUUUUUUAAGAGAUGGAGUUUUGCUCUUGUUUCCCAGGCGUGGGUACAAUGAAGUGAUCUCGGCUCACCUCAACCUCCGCCUUUUGGGUUUAGGCAAUUCUGCCUCAGCCUCCUGAGUAGCUGGAGUUACAGGCACGCGCCACCAUACCCAGCUAAUCAUUUUCUUUUUUUUUUUGAGACAGAGUUUCGCUCUUGUUACCCAGGCUGGAGUAGAAUGGUGCGAUCUUGGCUCACCGCAAACUCUGCCUCCUGGGUUCAGGCAAUUCUCCUGCCUCAGCCUCCUGAGUCGCUGGGAUUACAGGCACCCGCCACUGUGCCCAGCUAAUUUUUUUUUUUUUUUGAGAUGGAGUUUUGCUCUUGUUGCCCAGGCUGGAGUGCAAUGGUGUGAUCUCGGCUCACCGCAACCUCUGCCUCCUGGGUUCAGGCAAUUCUCCUGCCUCAGCCUGCUGAGUAACUGGGAUUACAGGCACACACCACCAUGGCCAACUAAUGUUUUUUUUUCUUUUUGAGACGGAGUUUUGCUCUUGUUCCCCAGGCUGGAGUGCAGUGGUGCAAUCUCGGCUCACUGCCACCUCUCCCUCCUGGGUUCAGGCAAUUCUCCUGCCUCAGCCUGCUGAGUAGCUGGGAUGACAGGCACGCACCACCAUACCCAGCUAAUUUUUUGUAUUUUUAGUAGAGACGGGGUUUCACCAUGUUGACCAGGAUGGUCUCGAUCUCCUGACCUCGUGAUCCACCCGCCUCGGCCUCCCAACGUGUUGGGAUUACAGGCGUGAGCUACUGUGCCUGGUCCCCAGCAGCGUCUUUUGGCUCGGCUCCUGGCCAGCGCCCGGAGGCCUUUCAUCUGUCAGCCCAAAGCUUCCUCAGUGUCCCUUCUGUUGAGGCCACUGGGAGGCAGAAGGGACGCCCUGAAGGCCCCACCUGAGGAAGCUUUGGGCCGACAGAUGAAAGGCCUCUGGGAACUGGCCAGGAGUCAAGCCAAAAGAGGCUGCCAGGGGCAAAACUUGGGCCUGUAGAUGUGGCCAGGAGGGGGGUGCCAGGCCUGGUGUGGCUGCCAGUAGGGAGACAGAGGCUGGGGCUCCUGGAGAGGCCGUGUGAUGGGAAUCAGGACCUGGGCCCCAUGGGGCCACUGGGAUGCAGGACCUAGCCCCGGAGGGGACCACGUGAUGAUGUAUUGCGCCCACGUUGGGGGGUGCCACCAGGAGGGCAGGAGCUGGACCUGCAGACACGGACUUCAUGACCCAAUGCUUGGGCCUCCCGAGGCCAGCGGGAGGACAAAGCAGGACUGGGCCUCAGGGCUGAGCUCUGGAGUCCCCCCAGCCUCCCCAGCCCCAGCUGCUGCCUGCUGGCUGCUUCCGCAGGCCAAGAUCCUGCCUGCCUGCAUCCUGGCUGCCUCCACAGGCCCAGCGCCUCCCUCACACUGGCCAGUUGAAGCUCAAUUCAUGCCUUUGCAGUACAUCUCUGGAGCCAGCUCUCGGCUGGUGCUGGCCUUGAGUCUGGACCCAGGCCCUCCCUCGCACCAGCCUUUCUUGGCCCAGCUCGCCUCUCAUAAAUGCUCUGGCCAGCUCCUGCCUCCCAGCGGCCUGUCCAGGCCCGAAGCUUCCUCUUUGGGCCCCGCCUCUCUGGGCCCAGCCUCCGCCUCUCAGUGGACCCUCCAGACCCAGCUUGUGGCCUCAUCAUGGCCUCUGCUCAGCUCAGCUCCUGCCUCUGUCUUCACAGGCCCAGCUUGUAGCCUCCUGGUGGCCCCCUCGGGCCAAACUGGUGCCCCAGGCGGCCCUUCCAUGCCCAGCGUUGGCCUUCUGGCAUCCUCUCCUUGUCCAGAGUGUCUUCAGGUCAGCCUCUUGGGGCCCAGGCCCUCCUUCCGGCGGCUUCUAAGGGCCAAUCUUCCAUUCUCGCCUCGCAGCAACCUCUGUGGACUCGGCUCCUCCCCAGCUCCCGGAGGCCUUUGUAGGCCGGAAAGCUCAGGCCCUCAACUCAGGCUCCUCAAGACUACCCAGGUCAUGCCUCACGCUGGCCUCUUCAGGCUCAGCUUCUGCCCAGCCAGGGUUCCUAUCGGCCCCAGAUGUCCCAGAGUCGGCUUCUCCAGGCCCGGGUCUGGCCUCCUCCUAUUGGCUUCUGCAGGCCCAACCACUGGGUUCUCAAUUCGGCCUCUCCAGGCCCAGCUCCAGUUCUCCUGGCAUCUCCUCCCCAUGGGUGCAAAACGUCAUCACAUGGGCCCUUCUAGGGCCAGCUCAUGCCUCCCAAAGGCCCCCUGGGCUUAGCUCCUGCCUCCCAUCAGCCUCUCCUGGAGCCCCAUUCGCUGCCUCCAUACUGGUGGCCUCUGCAAGCCUGGAUCCUCCUCUUGGCCAUGUCUACGGGCCCAAGUUUUGCCCCUGGAAGCCUCUUUUUUUUUUUUUUUGAGAUGGAGUUUUUCUUUUGUUACCCAGGCGCGAGUGCAAUGACCUGAUCUCGGCUCACCUCAACCUUUGCCUCUUGGGUUCAGGCAGUUCUCCUGCCUCAGCCUCCUGAGUAGCUGGGAUUACAGGCAUGCACCACCAUGCCCAGCUAAUUUUUUGUAUUUUUUUUUUUUUUUUUGAGAUGGAAUUUUGCUCUUGUUACCCAGGCUGGAGUAGAAUGGUGUGAUCUCAGCUCACCACAACCUCCGCCUUUUGUGUUCAGGCAAUUCUCUUUCCUCAGCCUCCUGAGUAGCUGGGAUUACAGGCACGCCCCACCGUGCCCAGCUAAUUUUUUUUUAAUUUUAUUUUUGAGAUGGCGUUUUGCUCUUGUUGCCCAGGCUGGAGAGCAAUGGCACGAUCUCAGUUCACCACAAUGUCCGCCUCCUGGGUUCAGGCAGUUCUCCUGCCUCAGCCUCCUCAGCAGCUGGGAUUACAGGCACACACCACCAUGCCCAGCUAAUUUUUUGUAUUUUUUUUUGAGACCUAUUUUCACUCUUGUUACCCAGGCUCGAGUAGAAUGGUGUGAUCUCGGCUCACCACAACCUCUGCCUUUUGGGUUCAGGCAAUACUCCUUCCUCAGUCUCCUGAGUAGCUGGGAUUACAGGCACGCCCCACCGUGCCCAGCUAAUUUUUGUUUUUUUUUUGAGAUGGAGUUUCGCUCUUGUUGCCCAGGCUGGAGUUCAAUGGAACGAUCUUCGUUCACCGCAAUGUCCGCCUCCUGGGUCAGGCAAUUCUCCUGCCUCAGCCUCCUGAGCAGCUGGGAUUACAGGCACACACCACCAUGCCCAGCUAAUUUUUUGUAUUUUUAGUAGAGACGGGGUUUCACCAUGUUCACCAGGAUGGUCUUGAUCUCCUGACCUCGUGAUCCACCCAUCUCGGCCUCCCAAAGUGCUGGGAUUAUAGGCGUGAGCCACUGCGCCUGGUCCCCAGCAGCAUCUUUUGGCUCAGCUCCUGGCCAUCUCCUGGAGGCGUUUCAUCUGUCGGCCCAAAGCUUCCUCAGGUGGCACCUUUUGGGCAUCCCUUCUGCCUCCCAGUGGCCUCAACAGAAGGGACACCUAGAAGGACCUCCCUGAGGAAGCUUCGGGUCGACAGACGAAAGGCUGAGCCAAAAGAGGCUGCCUGGUGCAAAACUUGGGCCGGUUGAUGUGGCCAGGAGAAGGUUCAGGCCUGGUGAGGCUGCCAGUAGGGAGGCACAGGCUGGGCCUCCUGGAGUGACUGCCUGAUGGGAAGAGGACCUGGGCCCCAUGGGGCCACUGGGAUGCAGGACCUAGCCCCGGAGGGGACCACGUGAUGAUGUAUUGCACCCACGUUGGGGGGUGCCGCCGGGAGGGCAGGAGCUGGACCUGCAGACGCGGACUUCAUGACCCAAUGCUUGGGCCUCCCGAGGCCAGCGGGAGGACAAAGCAGGACUGGGCCUCAGGGCCGAGCUCUGGAGUCCCCGCAGCCUCCCCAGCCCCAGCUGCUGCCUGCUGGCUGCUUCCGCAGGCCAAGAUCUUGCCUACCUGCAUCCUGGCUGAAUCCACAGGCCCAGCGCCUCCCUCACACUGGCCAGUUGAGGCUCAAUUCAUGCCUCUGAAAGACGUCUCUGGAGCCAGCUCUCGCCUGGUGCUGGCCUUGAGUCUGGGCCCAGGUCCUCCUUUGCACACGCCUUUCUUGGCCCAGCUCACCUGUCACAGACUCUUCUGAGACAGCUCCUGUCUCCCGGCAGCCUGUCGGCCCGAAGCUUUCUCUGUGGGCCCAGCCUCCCCACACCGGGCUCCUGCCUGCGCUAGGCCUCCUUAGUAGCUGGGAUUACGGGCAUGCACCACCAUGCCCAGCUAAUUUUUUCAGCCUCCCCCUUUCAGAGGACCCUUCAGACUCAGCUCCUGCCUUUGUGGCAGCCUGUCUCCACAGGCCCAGUCUUCAGCCUUUCUGUGGCCACAUGGGGCCAAGCCAAUGCCUCCCAGGGGCCCUGCCAGACCCAGAGUUGGCCUUCUGAUGUCCUUUCCAUGUCCAGAACGUCUUCAGGUCGGCCUCUUGGGGCCCAGCUCCUCCUCCCCUUGGCGUCUACAGGCCCAACAUGUGAAUUUGCCGCAUAGAAACCUCUGUGGACUCGGCUCCUGCCCAGCUCCCGACAGCCUUUGUAGGCCCGAAAGCUCAGAUUAUCUACUCAGACUCUCCAGGCCCACCUAGCUUAUGCCUAACGACUGGCCCCUCCAGGUUCAGCUCCUGCCCUUUUAAGGGCAUCUCCAGGCCCCAGACAUUCCUGAGUCGGCUUCUCCCCUUUCGGCUCCUGCUGCCUCCUCCUGCUGGCCAUGUGAGGCCCAGUAUUGGGUCCUGAAUUCGGCCUCUCCAGGCCCAGCUCCUGCCCUCCUGGCAUCUUUCCAUGGGUGAAAAACAUCCUCACAUGGGUGCCUCCAGGGCCAGCUGCUGCCUCCCAACGGCCCCCUGGGGCCCAACUUCUGCCUCCCCUCAGCCUCUCCGGGAGGUCCAGCCUAUGCCUCCCUUCUGGCAGCCUCCCCAGGCCCGGAUUCUCCACCUGGCCUCAUCUACUGGACCACGUCCUGCCUCCCAGCAGCUGCUUUUCACUCGGCUCCUGACCAGCUUCCAGCGACCUUUUGUAGGCCCGAAGCUUUCUCAAGUGGGGCUUUCUGGGCCUCCGUUCUGCCUCCCGGUGGCCUUGACAGGCCCUGCUACCACCUGACAUUGGUGCCUCCUGGCCCAGCUCUGGACUCUCCACAGCCUCCCCAGCACCAGCUGCUGCCUGCUGAUGGCUUUUCCAGACCAAGAUCCUGCCUGCCUGCAUUCUGGCUGCGUCCACAGGCCCAACGCUUCCCUCAUAGUGGCUCAUUGGAGCCCAGCGCUUUCCUGACAGUGGCUCAUUGGAGCCCAGCACUUCCCUCACAGUGGCUCAUUGGAGCCCAGCGCUUCCCUCACAGUGGCUCAUUGGAGCCCAGCGCUUCCCUCACAGUGGCUCAUUGGAACCCAGCACUUCCCUCACAGUGGCUCAUUGGGGCCCAGCUCAUGCCUGUGGCAAACCUCUCCGGACCCAGCUCUCGCCUCUUGCCUUGAGUCUAGGCCCAGAUGCUCCCUCGCAGGGGUCUUCCUGAGCACAGCUCGCCUAUCGCAGACUCUCCCGGGCCAGCUCCUGCCUCCUGGUGGCCUGUCCAGGCCCAAAGCUUCCUCUUUGUGCCCGGCCUCCCCAGGCCCAGCUUUUGCCUGCGCCAGGCCCAUACCGGGCCCAGCCUCCGCCUUUCAGUGGACCCUCCAGGCCCAGCUUGUGGCAUCACCAUGGCCUCUGCUCAGGCCCAGCUCCUGCCUCUGUGGCAGCCUGUAUCCACAGGCCCCACCCCCAGUCUCUCCAUGGCCCCAUUGGGCCAAGCUGAUGCCUCCCGGUGGCCCUCCCGGGCCCAGCAUUUGCCUGCUGGCAUCCUCUCUGGGCCCAGAACGUCUUCAGCUGCGGCAUGAAGCUGAACUUGGACUACCUGCUGGAGAUGCUUUGGGAGUACUUGGCCCUGACCUGCAUCUACACCAGGAAAAGAGGAUAGAGGCCGGACUUCACAGACGCCAUCAUUCUCUGGAAAGGGGCCUCAGUGGAGCACGUGGUGUUAUUUUCCUCAAGCUGAUUUCUUCUUGGGAUCUGUAUCAUGGAAGCAAGGGACACUGUCCCUCUAGCCCCUUAUGACAGUGGUGGCUGGGCUUGCAAUCUGGUCUCAUGCAUUCAUUCCUUCUGAAAGCCCAGCCCCAGGUCUCUGGGUGCCACCCUGGAGGUGUUGAACAGAUGAGGCCAUGCAAAGUCCCAUCUCUCUAAGACCUAGGCUUGAGAUCACAUCAGGAGGAGCCAAGAAGGCUCACGAUCACCCUCGUGAAUCCCUUCAGACACUCACAAGUGGCAAGCUGAGUAAAAAGUAAGACUCAUUUGCAGGCCCGAAUCAGCCACCUUCCCAUCUCUGUCAGGGAAGUGGACCUGCAGGCCUGGCGCCACCUCUGCCCCAGGGACACUGGGCUGAGGUGUUUUGUCUCUCACUGGGGCCUGGAAGACUUGUGGGCAUGUAGGGGGAGGAGCCUUAUCGCACAAUUGCAGAGUCCCUUCCCUGACGCCCUCCACUGUCCCACCAUCAGAGUGGCAACCAGAAGUCCACACUCAGGGCAAAUGCUGGCUGCCCCUCCAGGGUCUCCUUCCAAUUUCACGUGACAUCUGGGACCCUUUUGACCUUUAUCCCUACCAAGAAGCACUGGAGGGUGUACGCUGCUCUGAGAGUUGGGGGUGAUGUGAUAUGUGGGAGGCUUCAGGUCACAGGUGGGGCCAGGAGGAGUGAGAGACAGUGCAGUCAAGCUUGGGGUGGGGUUAGGUGGAGCUUCACCUUUCUGUCUCUCCCCUGUUUUUCUGUGCCUCUGUAUCCACCAGUCACUUGCUAGCCAGUUCAAGUAUGCCCUGGUGUGGGUAAGUGUCUGGGUGGGAGGCAGGCAGGGGGUUAGACCCAGCAGAGCCCCUGGAUUAGGCAUAGAGCAAGGCAUUCACAUUCCUCUGCAUGGUGUUCCUGUUUUUCCUGUGGGGAUUGGCAUGACUGUGUCUGUCCUCCAUAAAAUGUAUGUGUUCACCCAGGCUGGACAUGGGCCUUCCCCACUUUUUUUCUUUUUUCUUUUUUUGAGACAGGGUCUGGCUCUGUCUCCCAGGCUGGAGUGCAGUGGCACAAUUGCGACUCACUGCAGCCUUGACAUCCUGUGCUCAAGCAAUCCUCCCACCUCAGCAUCACAUGUAGCUGGGAGUAUAGGCACACAGCAGCAUGCUUGGCUGAUUUUUCAUGGAGAUGGGAUCUUGCUAUCUGGCCCAGACUGG